AUUUAGAACAAGGUAAACGACCUCUUCUAACAUUUAACGGUAUUUUGCAUACUAAUCUAAUUGUUGCUAGUGUUACGGUAAGGAACGGUAAGUAAUAAACGGUUUUAGGUUCAUGUAAGCAGUUUCCUGGAUCAUUUAUAGGAAUUCCUAUGUACCAUUCUAGGGAAAACAUGAAAUGGAUUCUUUAAAUCAUGGCAGGCUUGUGGAUUAAGUCAAAUCAAAAACCCAAAUAUCAUAAGCAUUUUCGCAGUCGAACUUUGUUCUUCGAAGUGUGUGCAUCAAAAAUGAUUACGGAAGAAAAAAAUUACAGAAAAAACAGCACGUUUUGGAAAUUGUGAUUAUCAUCGGUGAAAAUAUUUAAAAAAUUUGAUCAUUUGAUCAAAAACCUGAAUUUCCAUUUGGAUUUCACAGUCGAAGUUUAAAUCUCAACGAGUGUGCACAACAAACUAAUAUAAUUACAUAAAAUAAAAGGAAAGUUUUCCAAAAUUGUUAUUUGGCAAUAAACGUCGAAAUCGUCGCGUUCCUUUAAAAGUGUUUGAUCAAAGAGUGCUGUUCGUAACAAAGCAAGAAACUCAAAAAAUUAGACACUUUCCGAAAACUGUACUUUGUUUGGAAGAUUAUCUUCGCGACAAAAUGGAAAUAGAAUGGAAAAUGUUCGGAAUAAGAUUAUAUCUGAAGAGCCAGAUUCUAUAGAUUAAGCAACACAGCUGUUGCUUCGGUUGGCAGUUCCGGUCUCUAUCUUCGACUUUGAAUAUGCAUAUAUGGGUGCAUAUCGCAAGAAAUUUUCUCCACAGUUUUACUGUGUCAAUAAAACAACCAAGGCAGCCGUCUUGUCAACACUCCCCAAUGUUGAGGUGAAAACCAAGGUUUCGGAACACCCAAUAUUGGGAAAUGUAAAAAUUAAACAAUAAGAUCUUCUGGUUGAAGCUACACUUACGGUUUCCCGCACACUGAAAUCCAGAAAAUAGAAACAAAAGCCCAUCUGAGCCCCUCCUAAGGCUCCAGCAACAUAUUGGCCAGGAUUAUGCCCCAAAACACAGUUCAAUAAUUUCCCAAUGAAAGCAGACACAUAAGAAACAGCUGGCAUUGAAUAUUCACCACAAAGCACGACAUGCACCUUCGGAUUAAGCAAAGCAAACAUUUCUUUUAAGCAUCAAAUCCAAAGCCAACACUCAAAUCAUCACCCCACCCGGAAGCCGCCACUUGAUCUGGACACCCCAGCGUAGACAACAUUCGAUCGUCGCCACGCAACCUUAGAGAAAUUAACGAUCACUAUAUCGAUUCCGGAUGCUUACAAAUAAAUAAAG